rnacentral:rRNA from 1 species
UACAGAGGUCUCAAGCGUUGUUCGGAUUCAUUGGGCGUAAAGGGUGCGUAGGCGGCCACCGCAAGUCGGUUGUGAAAUCUCCGGGCUUAACCCGGAAAGGUCAACUGAUACUGUGCGGCUAGAGUGCAGAAGGGGCAACUGGAAUUCUCGGUGUAGCGGUGAAAUGCGUAGAUAUCAUUUGGAACGCCAAUGGUGAAAACAGGUGGCUGGGGCUGUGCUGACACUGAGACACGAAAGCCAGGGGAGCGAACGGG